UACGUAGGCAGCAAGCGUUGUUCGGAAUUACUGGGCGUAAAGGGUGCGUAGGCGGUUUCGCAAGUUUGGUGUGAAAUCUCCCGGCUUAACUGGGAGGGUGCGCCGAAAACUGCGAAGCUAGAGUGCGGGAGAGGAGAGUGGAAUUCCUGGUGUAGCGGUGAAAUGCGUAGAUAUCAGGAGGAACACCUGUGGUGUAGACGGCUCUCUGGACCGCAACUGACGCUGAUGCACGAAAGCGUGGGGAGCAAACAGG
rnacentral:rRNA from 1 species